GGCCUCCCUCUGCGGGGCGAUCGAUCAUGGAGCACCCCUCCUCCCCGGCCCCCAUCAAUUGCCCUGCAGAGGGUGGCC
rnacentral:pre_miRNA from 1 species